UGUACAGAAAUGCAAGAGAUUUCUGUGUGUUAAUUUUGUAUCCUGCAACUUUCCUGAAUUCAUUGAUGAGCUCUAGUGGUUUUCUGACAGCAUCUUUAGGAUUUUCUAUGUAUAGUAUCAUGUCAUCUGCAAACAGUGGCAGUUUUACUUCUUUUCCUUUUUUAAAUGAUUUUUAUUUUUUCCAUUAUAGUUGGUUUAUAGUGUUCUGUCAAUUUUCUACUAUACAGUAGAGUGACCCAGUCAGAGAGAGAUAUAUACAUUCUUUUUCUCACAUUAUCCUCCAUCAUACUCCAUAACAAGUGACUAGAUACAGUUCCUAGUUCUGUGCAGCAAGAUUUCAUUGCUUAUCCAUUCCAGAUGGAAUAGUUUGCAUCUAUUAAUCCCAGACUCCCAGUCCAUCCCAUUCCCUGCCCCCUAGCAAACACAAGUCUACUCUCCUAUGUCUGUAAUCUGUUUCUAUUUUGUAGAUAGGAUCAUUUGUGCCAUAUUUUAAUUCCAUAUAUAAGGGAUAUCAUAUGGUAUUUGUCUUUCUCUUUCUGACUUACUUUACUUAGUAUGAUAAUCUUUAGUUGCAUCCAUAUUGCUGCAAAUGGCAUCGUUUUGACCGUUUUUAUGGCUAAAUAGUAUUCCAUGGUAUGUAUGUAUGACAUUUUCUUAAUCCAUUCAUCUGUUAAUGGACAUUUAGGUUGUGCCCAUGUCUUAGCUAUUAUGAAUAGUGCUGAAAUGAACAUUGAGGUGCAUUUAUCUUUUUGAAUGAAAGUUUUAUCUGGAUAUAUGCCCAGGAGUGGGAUUGCUGGAUCAUAUGAUAGUUCUAUAUUUAGUUUUCUGAGAAACCCUCCAUACUGUUUUCUAUAGUCAUUUGUUUUGCAUGUGAACUCUUAGAUGUGGUUGAGCAAACCUUUCCUAGAAAUACUGCAGUAAAGUGGGUUAAAAACCUAAAUCUAGAUCAGAUUUAAUUAUUUUAAGAAACAUUAAAGCCCUAGUGUAAAUCACAAAAUAUUAUCUGAAAUUUUGGCUAAGUUCUUUAUAGCAAAAAUUUGUAUGCUUUUUUAUUUGUGUUUUUGUAGGUUAUAUAGUGCCCUCUUUCUCCUGUGCCCUUUUUUUAAUGUGUUGGUGAAGGGAAUGAUUUCCUAAUCUGUUCCUACAAAUCACCACAUCUUAUGUUUCUGGACAAUAAAUAAUGAGAAUGUAAAUAUUCCUUAUUGAAUGACAGUGUUUUGCCUACUCUGUGUUUAGUGAUUAUUUUUAGAGAAUCUUUUAGAGGUCUAGGGCUCAACAAUGAGAAUAAACUUUUUGUAUCCUGGGCAGAGUAAAAUUGAAACAAAAUAGGAGUUGGAUUAGUGCUUAGGAGAAAUAAUACAUUUUCCUCUCCAUUUUUUUUUGUCUUUCUCUUUGUCUCACUGUCUUACUCUCUUUCCUUUAUGUACACACACACACACACACACACACACACACACACACACACGCCUUCAUAACAGUUGUGACACUUGGAGCUAGAAAUGAAGAGGGCAAAAUAGAAGUCAAAACAUUCAGAGGCAUCACUUUUUUUUUAAUUAAAAAAAAUUUUUUUUAUUGUGGCUGUACCUGCAGCAUAUUUAAGUUCCUGGGCCACAGCAAUAUUGUAUCUCAGCUGCGUCUGUGAUCUACGCCACAGCUUGUGGAAGACCCAGAUCCUUAACCCACUGAGCCAGCGAACUACCCGCAUCUUCACUAUGUCAGGUUCUUAAACUGCUGAUCCACAAAGGGAAUUCCCAGAGGCAUACCUUUAAAUGAAGUAUUUCCAUUUCCAUGAUUUUAUCCUAAGGAACAAAGUUUAAGUUAUAAGGUUUUCGUCUCAUUUUUCUAUACAGUAGUGAAAAAACCAAUCUAAUGUUUCUAAUGUUAACCAAUCUAAAUGUCACAGAGAUUUUAUUAAAUAUAUUGCUCUAAUUUUAUGCAGUGGAAUAGAAUGCAGCUAUUAAAACCAUGGUAUAGAAGAAUAUACUACUACAUGAGUAAAUGUUAUUUUGCUAAAGUACAAGGUCAAGGUUGCUGUUGCUGCUUUUUUUAUUUUUUACUUUUUAGGGCCGUACUCGUGGUAUAUGGAGGUUCCCAGGCUAGGGAUCUAAUCAGAGCUGUAGCCACCGGCCAAUGCCAUAGCCACAGCAAUGUGGAAUUUGAGUUGUGUCUGUGACCUACACCACAGCUUGCAGCAACACUGGAUCCUUAACCCACUGGGCGAGGCCAGAGAUUGAACCUGUGUCCUCAGGGCCACUAGUCAGAUUCGUUUCCGCUGAGACAUGACGGGAACUCUUCAAGUUUGCUUCUAUGACUGUAGUGGGUCCUGGCCAGGUCUACCUGGGACCAAUAACUCUUUUUUAAGAAACAGAAGACAAAACAUACUGUGAUGCAGUGAGAAUUUCCUUACAUAGUUUUAGAAUGGAUCCUUAAGUGCUGGCAACCCCCAGUAUCAGGGAUCCUCUUCCACUUGCUCCUUAAAGUGCAGUCUGUGGACUAACAGCAUCCUUUCACCUGAGACUGGUUAGGAUCUCAGCCCUCACCCCAGACCUACUGAAUCAGAAUCUGUGUUUUAGCAAAAGCCCCUGAUGUUUCCUAUGCACAAUAAAGUUUGAGAAGCCUUAUAACUUACUUGUGCCUUUGGUCUUGUGAAUAACUUUGCAAUGCAUGAUUUGCCAGUCUCUGAAGACAACAUCAGUGGAAGUCCAGCCACUGUUCUCUCCCAGUUUUGAACCAGAUCAGCCUUUGUCAUCUGGACUAGCUUAUAUAUGUGAUUCUACAUCCUAAAAAGAUUCUAGUUCCUAAAAUGUGUUUACUGGGGCACAGGUUCAUUCCUUUCUCAAUAACCAUUUAUUAAAUCCAGCUCUGUUAUAGGCACGAGGGUUAUAGCAGGGAACCAAAUAAAAUCUGUGCAGUCAUGGGUCUUAUAGUUGGAAUUGGUAUAAAAGGAUUAAAAAAAUAAGAGAUAAGAGUGAUUUGUGGCCAUAUAUAUUUAUUAACUGCAAUUUCUCACAUUCUUUAAUAUAUUAUUUUGCAUUUAUGAGUUAGUAUGGCAUGGAGGGCAGAGGUUGAGCAUAUUUUAUAUAGCACUGAUUUGACGAGCCACUUUAUUAAGGGAAUACUGGCAUGAUUCACGGGUUUUUUUUUUUUUGGUCUUUUUAGGGCUGCACCCGCGGCAUAUGGAGGUUCCCGGGAUAGGGGUGUAAUGGGAGCUACAGCUGCCAGCCUACGCCAGAGCCACAGCAGUGCAGGACCAGAGCUGCGUCUGUGACCUACAGCACAGCUCACAGCAAUGCUGGAUCCUUAACCCACUGAGCAAGGCCAGGGAUCGAACCCACAACCUCAUGGUUCCUAGUCGGAUUCGUUAACCCCCGAGCCACUAGGGGAACUCCUGUUUUUUAAAUAUAUUUUUCAUAAAAUUCAGAGACAUUUAUUUCUUCUCUCCUUUACCUUCAAAUGAUGAUGCUUUAUACUCAUUUAACAACUAACUCCAUUGAUGUUUAAAACAUGCUGAUAUUUCUCCAUAAUGAUAUUAAGGGCAAAUGAAGUGAGAGAGGCUAUCGUCACCAACAUACAAUAGAUGAAGAAUGGUGAAAGAAGGAGAAAAAAAGUAGUGGAAUAAUAAUAGCUAUAAUAGAGUGUGGCAGCCAGAAUUCUAAGAUGAUCCCCAUAAACUUCGCCCCUCAUGUUAUUCCUGUGACUGUAUAUCUUACAUGGCAAAAGGGAUUUUGCAGAUGGGAUUGACUUUACUAGUCCAUUUAACUUAAGACAAGGAGAUUGUCUGGGUGGGCUUCACCUGAUCACUUGAGCCCUUUUAAAGGUAGAGUUUUCUCUGGCUGAUGCAUUAAUUUCAGCUAUGCUACCCUGAGCAGAGAACCCAGGCAUACUGGCCUGGACUUCUGACCUUCAGAACUGUGGAUCUUAAACCAUUUUAAGCUGUUAAGUUUGUGGCAGUUUGUUUCAUAGCAGUAGAAAAGCAAAACACAGAGCUAGAAAGUGACCAUGUCUUUAAUUUGACAAAUGGAGGAACUUAAUUGAAGCCUAUGGGAAUGAAGUGGUUCACCCGAUGUGAUUGUCUUGGAGGGCUGCCAAGGUCACUUCUGGAGGUCACUUCCACCCUUAAGAUGCAAUAGUUUUAACAUUCACCUCCCCCUUUCCUGGGAAAUUACCUAGCAGAGUGUUUACUCUUAUGGUGUACAUUAGACACAGCCCUUCCCUUCAAAGAGAUCACAAGUCUUAUGAGGGGAACAGCCAGGUGCGUAGAGCUGGUGUAUGUGGAAUGCCACGCUGAGCUAUGCACAGGAAGGAGAAGGUGGCCUCUACAUCCUUUUGAUGGAAAAAUGUGUGCUUUCUAUUAGGAUUUUGGUUCUAUGUUACAUAAUGAGACCCUGUUAUUACCUGCAAGGACCUCUGGCAUGUGUUUAUGACGUCAGGCUGGGAACCAUUGCUCCUUUUAUUGAUGAGGAAAUUGAUACCAAGAGAGGGUUUAUGACGUGCCCAAAGUCACACUGUGGAAUAGUUCAGAAUCUGUUUAUGAACUUUGACCCAUUGACUCCAGGACUGUGUUUUUUCUGCUAUACUUGCAUUUUUUUUUUUUUUUCCCCAAACAGAAGCCAAUCUCUUUACUUUAUCUGAAAAACUCUACAAAAGACAGCAGAAAACUGUUAAAAUUCCAUAGAGGAGUUACCAUGUGGCUCAGUGGAAACGAAUCUGACUAGUAUCCUUGAGGAUGCAGGUUCUGUCCCUGGCCUCACUCGGUUAAGGAUCCAGUGUUGCUGUGAACUGUGGUGUAGGUCACAGAUGUGGCUCGGAUCUGGCGUUGCUGUGGCUGUGGCUGUGGCUAACAGUUACAGCUCCAAUUUGACCCCUAGUUUGGGAAUCUCCAUAUGCU
rnacentral:lncRNA from 1 species